AUGGAGCGGCUGAGAGCCCUUCGAGGUCUCUUUGCUUGUGUGGGCUGCAUGCCCAGAUGUACGCGUCGUCGCAGGGGCAGAGGCAGGGUGGCGAGCUCCGUCCCUGCCUGUCCCGUGACGUUGCUGCUGCAGCGCCUGCAAGACAAGGAGGGUGACCGAGCGCAGACGUACGGCGAGCUGGAGAGUGCCCUGUGGGAAGAGGUCAGCCGCCCGCCGUGCGGAGUGGUGAACCGGCUGCUGGCAGAGGUGUCCCAGGACCUGACGGCGGCCCAGGGCGCGACAGACAACCUGAGGAUGGCUGCCAGCAAUGUCCUGGUGGCUCUGGCCCGCUCGCACUUCAGCUUGGUGAUGGCCGAGCUCCAGGGCCACCUGAAGGCCGUGGGGGAGAUGUGCAAGGAGUUUGUGCUCAUCACCCUCAGCAAGCUGUUCAGCAGCUACGCUCCGCAGUGCAUCGCCUUCAUGUGCCUGACCCUGGCCAGCCUGCGCAGUGUGGCCGGCCAGGUGAGGAGCGGCCGCACCCUGCGCGUCGCUUGUGCUGGUGAGUGCCGGCCCCUGGGCAGGGGGGCUC
rnacentral:lncRNA from 1 species